rnacentral:misc_RNA from 1 species
GAUGAAGAACGCAGCGAAAUGCGAUAAGUAGUGUGAAUUGCAGAAUUCAGUGAAUCAUCGAAUCUUUGAACGCACCUUGCGCCCUUUGGCUAUUCCGAAGGGCAUGCCUGUUUGAGUAUCAUGAACACCUCAACUCUCAUGGCUUGCCAUGAUGAGCUUGGACUUUGGGGGUCUUGCUGGCCUGUGGUCAGCUCCUCUCAAAUGAAUUAGCUUGCCAGUGUUUGGUGGCAUCACGGGUGUGAUAACUAUCUACGCUUGUGGUCCCUCCACCAGGUUAACCUUCCAGUGAUGGGGGUUCGCUGGGGCUUAUAAAUGUCUCUCCUCAGUGAGGACAGCUCUUUGAACGUUUGAUCUCAAAUCAGGUAGGACUACCCGCUGAACUUAAGCAUAUCAAUAAGCGGAGGA